rnacentral:rRNA from 1 species
UACAGAGGUCUCAAGCGUUGUUCGGAUUCAUUGGGCGUAAAGGGCGCGUAGGCGGCGGGGUAAGUCUGGUGUGAAAUCUAGGAGCUCAACUCCUAAACUGCACUGGAUACUGCUCUGCUAGAGGACUGGAGAGGAGACUGGAAUUCACGGUGUAGCAGUGAAAUGCGUAGAUAUCGGGAAGAACACCCGUGGCGAAGGCGGCUCUCUGGGACGGUACUGACGCUGAGACGCGAAAGCGUGGGGAGCGAACAGG